GAUCCUGGCUCAGGACGAACGCUGGCGGCGUGCCUAACACACGCAAGUUGAACGGAACUUUUUUGAAAGAUUUCUUCGGAAUGAAUUUGAUUAAGUUUAGUGGCGGACGGGUGAGUAACGCGUGAGUAACCUGCCUCUAAGAGGGGAAUAACAUUCUAGAAAAGAAUGACUAAUACCGCAUAAUAUAUAUUUAUCGCAUGGUAGAUAUAUACAAAGUAUUUAUCGCUUAGAGAUGGACUCGCGUCCGAUUAG
rnacentral:rRNA from 1 species